UUCUAGAGACAAAAUGCGUCAUAUGCACUAGAUCCCUAUAGGUCUUGGAAGCCAAAUAGGGAUGCCUCAGUUAGUACUUGGAUAGGAGACUGUCAAUUAAUACCAGGUGUUGUAGGCU
rnacentral:rRNA from 11 species